rnacentral:misc_RNA from 1 species
GCGAGCCACAUGGUCAUGAACCGUGAUUCGUGAAGGUCAGUCAACCAAUAUUUUGUGCCAGUUUUGUGAACUCUGUAGUGCAGUCACUUUCUAAGAAAAUACAGCAAGUUUUCAAGAGAAAAAACGCAAAUUAGUUGAUGAAUCGAAAUACCAGUGUGUGGUUUGUCAAGUUAAUAA